AAAAAAAAACGUAUUGAAGUUGGAAUUGGUUUUUGAUUUGUAUUUACAAUAGAAAUGGGGAAAGUGGGAAGUGGCCCAUGUAAAUCACAAAGCGUAGCCCAACAAAAACCAAAACGAUACGUUUGGCAAUUGUCAUGUCCCUUGUUAUUUCGAUACUGAAAUUGAAUCCCGAUUCCGAGAGAGAGAGAGAGAUAGCGGAAGACGAUGCUUUGACGGUGGCGUAGAGUGCGUUGGAGGCGAUUAGAGAGAAAGGUCUCGGCGGUUUCAUGAGGAUGAUCCGAGAAGAAGGCUUCUUAUUAUCUAUAGAAGAUAAAAUGAUUCAAGCUUUAUACAACAAUAAUCUUAUUCUUUCUUUGAGCGGCUGUUUAGCUCGAGCCCCAGACUUGAGCCCUUCUUCCACUGGUUCUAGCCUUCUUCUUCAUGAAUACCAAAGGAACCCUCAGCUUAUCAGUCUCGUGACCAACACAAAGAUAAGAAAUUGUUUUCUUUAUAACAUGUACCUUAAAAGAUUCUUAAUCUAUGUAACUAACGUUUGUUUUGCUUCAUAGGUGAAGCUUAAUUUUUUAUUAUGAAAGUGGAAGUAAAUGAUUAGUGAAGAGUCGUGUCAUCUGUCCUCACAAGCAAUAGAGACAAAGAUUUUGAGAGAAAAUAUCUCAGAUAAGGUAUGUAGGAGUAAUUAGUUUGGAUGACAUCUAACAGUUGGGAUUUUUUAAAGAAAGCGUAUUGAACUUAGGCAGGAUUUUAGGCAACGAUUAGUUCAUCGCAAUAUCUUUUCUGAAGAUAUUUUUGGCAACGAUUUUUGUAAUAUCUUGGAUUUAAUGUCGUUUUUA